CCCUGGCUCAGGAUGAACGCUAGCGGCAGGCUUAACACAUGCAAGUCGAGGGGUAUAGUUCUUCGGAAUUAGAGACCGGCGCACGGGUGCGUAACGCGUAUGCAAUCUACCUUUUGCAGAGGGAUAGCCCAGAGAAAUUUGGAUUAAUACCUCAUAGUAUAGUGAUACCGCAUGGUACUGCUAUUAAAGUCACAACGGCAAAAGAUGAGCAUGCGUCCCAUUAGCUAGUUGGUAAGGUAACGGCUUACCAAGGCUACGAUGGGUAGGGGUCCUGAGAGGGAGAUCCCCCACACUGGUACUGAGACACGGACCAGACUCCUACGGGAGGCAGCAGUGAGGAAUAUUGGACAAUGGGCGCAAGCCUGAUCCAGCCAUGCCGCGUGCAGGAUGACGGUCCUAUGGAUUGUAAACUGCUUUUGUACAGGAAGAAACACUCCCUCGUGAGGGAGCUUGACGGUACUGUAAGAAUAAGGAUCGGCUAA
rnacentral:rRNA from 1 species